GACGAACGCUGGCGGCGUGCCUAAUACAUGCAAGUAGAACGCAGUUACGAACAGGUGAGUACCGCGUAGGUAACUUCCUCAUACCGGGGGAUAACUAUUGGAAACGAUAGCUAAUACCUCAUACUUUGAGUUUGACCUGCGGUUUAUUAGCUAGUUGGUGAGGUAAAGGCUCAACAAGGCGACGGUCCAUAGCCGGACUGAUAGGGGGAACGGCCAAAAUGGGACCGAGACACGGCCCAGACUCCUACGGGAGGCAGCAGGAGGGAAACUUCGGCAAUUGACGGAAGGCUGAACGAGCAAAGGCGCAGGAGUGAAGGAGGGUUUCGGGAGGUAAAGAUCUGUUGUUAGGGAAGCGGUAACUAACCAGAAAGGGACGGCUAACUACGUGCCAGCAGCCGCGGUAAUUC
rnacentral:rRNA from 1 species